UACGAAGGGGGCUAGCGUUGUUCGGAAUCACUGGGCGUAAAGCGCACGUAGGCGGGUUCUUAAGUCAGGGGUGAAAUCCCAGAGCUCAACUCUGGAAUUGCCUUUGAGACUGAGUGGCUUGAGUACGAGAGAGGUGAGUGGAAUUCCCAGUGUAGAGGUGAAAUUCGUAGAUAUUGGGAAGAACACCGGUGGCGAAGGCGGCUCACUGGCUCGUAACUGACGCUCAUGCACGACAGCGUGGGGAUCAAACAGG
rnacentral:rRNA from 1 species